GACGUAGGGCGCAAGCGUUGUCCGGAUUUAUUGGGCGUAAAGAGCUCGUAGGCGGCCUGUCGCGUCGACCGUGAAAACCCGCAGCUCAACUGCGGGCUUGCGGUCGAUACGGGCAGGCUCGAGUUCGGUAGGGGAGACUGGAAUUCCUGGUGUAGCGGUGAAAUGCGCAGAUAUCAGGAGGAACACCGGUGGCGAAGGCGGGUCUCUGGGGCCGAUACUGACGCUGAGGAGCGAAAGCGUGGGGAGCGAACAGG
rnacentral:rRNA from 1 species